rnacentral:rRNA from 1 species
GUGAAGGGAAACCGGAACGAGCCUUCGGGCAGCGUAGACAGGUGCUGCAUGGCUGUCGUCAGCUCGUGUCGUGAGAUGUUGGGUUAAGUCCCGCAACGAGCGCAACCCGUGUUGCUAGUUACAAGUGUCUAGCGAGACUGCCGGUAACAAGCCGGAGGAAGGUGCGGAUGAUGUCAAGUCAGCAUGGCCUAUAUGUCCAGGGCUACACACACGCUACAAUGGCUGGUACAAAGAGAAGCGAAAGGGAGACCUGAAGCGAAUCUCAUCAAAGCCAGUCAUAGUUCGGAUUGCAGGCUGCAACUCGCCUGCAUGAAGUCGGAGUUGCUAGUAACCGCAGGUCAGCAAUACUGCGGCGAAUACGUUCCCGGGCCUUGUACACAC